ACCGGUGGUCAAUCACUGCUAAUUAAAAGAAUGCAGCCUUGGGAGCUGAGUAAAGCUGGUUUUAGGGGUAACAAAGGGAACAAAGAACAAGUCUCUGACAUAUAUUACAGACACCACAUAUACAGUAAAUUUGAAUGUAAUACGGAGUUGGAGACCAGGAAGGAAAAAGCAAGCAGUACAGCAUGUUAGAAAAUGUAUAAAAAUAGCCAAAGUGGAUGCCAGUGUGAAGAAGAAGAAGCUAUUGACAUCAUACUCCUCCCAGCAAAGAGGAGGAAGAAGCCCUUCCCUUUAAAAUCCUACUCUCCAGGUGAAGGGCUUGGGAAACUAAUGACUUUUCAUACCUCCCCCAUCCAGAAGGAAGCCAUCAACCUUAUGACCCAAAGGAGCACUGGAAGGUUCGGUACCAGAGAAAUGGGCAGGCUACCAUGAGACUGACAGACUCAUGGUCUCAUUCAGCCUUUCUUCUACAAUGCCACAUGGACAGACAACUUCAUUUAGUCAAGGAAGCAUUUGGAGAUGUGGAAGCCCACCAGACAGAGCCCGAAAGGAGUCAUUCAGGACGACCUCCCUCCCCUUGGGACCAACGACCAAGUUCGUGAUGCCCUUGGACUGAAUUAAGGUGAAACGACACCAGCCAACCAGUUUUAAGAUUUAUUAACACAAAGAUAAGGCAUGUGGUCAAAUAAGAUAAUUCAAUGGCGAAUACUGCAAAUAGCUAGACAAGUCCCAUGCCACACGUUUCAAACAGAUCUUACCAACAUUCGACAAAAGAGAGGGAAAAAGAGAGGAAAAGGGAGAGAGAGAGAGAGAGAGAGAGAGAGAGAGAGAGAGAGAGAAAGAUAUCACCACCCGUGGAUCCAGCAGCGUCCCGUUGGUCCUCUUCCUUUGGGAGUCUCGGCGGUGGGGAGGCUCCCGUCUGGUGGUAGGUGGGUCCUCUUCACCCUGGGUGUAAGUUUUGGCGAUGCGCAUGCAGUAAUUACAACUUGAGCAGGGUCUGACCCUAGGUUCCCGCUGAAAAGCUCAGAGCCAAAUCAAGGCAAAUUAAAUAAAUAAAUUGUAAUGACACACGUGCAGUGGUUACAGCUCGAGUUGGGUGCCUCCAAAGAGGGACCCUGAACAAAGAGAUCCCUGGGCAAUUAUAGCUUUUUUCAAAUUAAGUUUCCCACCCCCACAUGGUAGCUCGGACCAAUAGUAAUUUUUGGGGUUUGGGGUCUCCCGCUCUUUAUUGGGUCUCAUUGUUGUUCCUAGGCAGGCUGUUUCUUUUCUCCCUUAUCUUUACUGUUGCAGUUUCUGCCGACAGAUGUGUCUUCAUUCCUCAGGUCCCGCCAUCAUCUCUCAAGGUCCUGACAAAGAGGUGGUAACUCCAGCCAUUAGCACUGUUUCAGCAGUGCACAGGAAUGCAAACUGCUGAUAACUCCCUUAUCAUUGCCACCUGCACCAGCUCUGGGGCCCUUUCACACUGAACUAGGGAGUGCGGCCUAAUGCUUCAGCAAAUUUAGCUACUCAUGCUAAGCAAGUUUUAUAGAAGUUGUGCUAAAACAAGCAAUAAUUUACAGUCCAGGUCUCAAAGUCUCUGCCCAAUCAUGGUCUGGUUCAGCGCAGGCUCGGUGUGUCCUGGGUGGUCGCAGGGAGACCAUUUCAGGGGUCGCAGCAGCUUAGUCCUGUUUCUGCCAGGGACAGAUGGCUUGGUUGGGGUUAUGGUUUGCUUGCACCUUAUGUACCAAGAAAUGCUUAAGGCAAAAGUUCACUCAUCUGUCCGCCACACCUCUGUUGUAAGUUCUCUCCAUUUACAGUUUCCUAACAUUUCUUGGAUGUUUUUUUAGGCUUUAAUAACUUCAAACAUGAGCUCAUUUGUAAUUUGUUGUCAUCUCUUGUGAACCUUAUUCAAUAUAAGACUUUCUUAAUACAUGGUUUUUGCCUUUAUGCUAACAGUAUGCAUCCUCUUACUAUCAUAUGAAAUCUACCCUCUGCAAGACCCCGUUCACUACACUUAGCCACUCUUCCUCCAACACUUGUCUGGCUCCUGUUUAUGGCUGGCUUAGUAGACCGAACUCAUGAUGUCUUUAUUCUGUCUUUUCCAUAACACUAAGAAAUGAUUUUCUUGACUAGUCUGAACUUUGAACACACUUUCUCGGAAGGAAAUUUAAAAUAGCUACACAGAGCUACAUUGAGGCUCUUCAGCCAAAGCGAACCUAAUCUCCUCCUCUCAAGAUGUUUCUAGUUUAGUUAAGAAAUAUACUUUUUUUGACUAUUUUUCAAGUGCAGGAGACUCAAAAAUCCCACCAAAUCCAAUAGAAGUUGUGGCUAUGCAGCAUCUCUAGCAUUCACUGAAUAAAGUUUUUGGCAACAUCUCAGUUCAUUUCUUAUAAGCUCUGGUACUCUGUCACAAAUAAUGGCUGUUUAAAAGCCAUUUUAGGUCAUUGAGCCAUCACUUUUCACAUAGCAAUUUCCCACUUCUGUCGCUUUGACUACUUUUCGCUUUCUCACUUACCCAACUUAUCUUCAUCCCUCCUUCUACUUGCCAGCCACAGGUCUGACCUCUGCACACUGCAGUAUGGGCACCAGGCCUGAGCACACCAAUGGGAGAAUAACAGCAGGAUGGGGGUGCCACUUGCUAACGUUGUAAGUAGCAAAUGCAGGUGAAAGACUGCAUUAAGACCUUUUACAGUAUAAUAGAUUCUUCUUUAAAAUUGUGUUUUGCUCCAACCAUUACAAUUAAACAAUAUUUGUAAAUUGAAAGUUCCUGGACCUUAAUUCAGUCAGGUCUAUUCAGUGAUCAGUAUGGGCACCUCUGCCAAGACUGAGUGAACCUAUUAUUAAAUUUUGAAUUCCAAUUUCCUCUUCCCAGUUGUCAUCGUUGACAGUGUCCUGCAGGAGAAACAGGUUAUGCCACACUUGACUGUGUUAACUUCUGCAGCUUCACAAACCACUCCUUAGUGAUCACUAACUGCUGAACAACGUGGCAUUCAUAAAGCCUUAAUGUUGUGUCUUUUUGAUUCAUUUUAUAUAUAAUAUAUGUAUAUGUAUAUAUAUAUAAAUUAAAUAAUUCCUUGAACAUUGUUUUAAAGCUUUAGCUCCACAGGAAAGGCAACCUGUCCAUCUGCCUUUUUUAAUCCUCCAUGGAAAUCCAAAGUCAUUGCAUUAUCAGUCAUUGGAUUACAUAGACAACUAAGCCUUCAGACUCAUUUCUAAACUGUUUGCUUUUCCUUUUACAUGGAAAAAUAUUUUCAUAUAAUCCCUGGAAGAUGCUUAGGAAACAGAUAAGGACUCUCAAAGUCAGUCUUACCUUUCUUCAUCCUGUGAGGUUAGCUGCUCUUUCUGAGUCUUCCUAUAGAAAUAUUGAAAAUCCUUCCCCUCCAGGGCAGUGAACUAACCUAGACCAACAGAGCCCAGCUACACAAGGCGUUAUUAGUCAUUGUCCUUCUCUAGCUCUAGUCUAAGCAAUGGAAAAGGACUCAGACUUCUCCAUUUCUAGAAUACACAGUAGAGGCAACAGUAAGAAAGUGGUAACGUUUUAGGAAGAAGUCUCUCUUAAAGGUUUUCUUUUCAUUAUAUAGAGGCCCAGAAACUGAAUCAUGUUUUGUCCCAGUAGAGGGUGCUACUACUCUUAAAGAGGCAUCGAUUAUAAAAGUCCUGCAGUUCAUCAGCAUGCUUUGACUACUGGAAGUCUUACUGUUACAGUAGGAAUCAGAUUUUUAGAUAGAGUCAGACUGCUAGAGGCACAAGGCAGAAUAACACUUUGUUGUGCCAGAAGCAACAUCUUCAACAUCAGCAACAA